UUAAGUUCAGCGGGUAUUCCUACCUGAUCCGAGGUCAACCUUAGAAAGGAAGUUUUCCCUGCGAGAGGGAGGGAGACCGGGUCUCGGGUGCCCUGAUCCGAUACGUGCUCAAUAAAGAAGCUCAGUGUACCGGGGGUCCCACGAGGCCGCCGUCAUUGUCUUUAGGAGGGGUCAGAGGGCACUCCGACCAGGCCGUCCAA
rnacentral:misc_RNA from 1 species